rnacentral:rRNA from 1 species
AUGGAGAAGAGAGCAGUAUGUGCUCCCAAACAAAAUGGAGGAUUGGGUAUAAAGGACAUUAGGUGUUUUGGAAGAUCAUUGAGGUUAAGAUGUCUGUCGAACGAGUGGCAGGACGAAGACAAACCAUGGAAAGAGACUCCUGGACCUUGCGACAUGACUGAUAAGCAGAUGUUUGCGGCCUGCGCCACAAUCACUCUUGGUGACAGGUCGGUCGCUCGAUUCUUGACAGAGAAGUGGAUGUUUAGUCAGGCCCCGAAGGAUUUAGCGCCUAGUGCGUUUCGUUUAGCAUGCCAGAAAAACCUAACGGUUAAAGAGGCCUUGGCUGAUGGGAGAUGGAUGAAAGGAUUGUAAGCGUAUGUGUCCACAGAGGAAAUUGAUCAGUCCAUACACCUCUGGGAACUGAUUCAAAAUGUUCAGCUUACGACAGAAAGCAACUGCAUCAGAUGGAACUUAACAUGUGAUGGAUCUUACUCGGUCACUUCAGCUUACAAUUUUUAGUUUCUCACCCGGAUUCCACCACCGAGAUUUGAUCAAAUUUGGCGAGCAAAGGCUGAGCUUGUGGCUGCUCCUGCAGAAUCACAAUUGGACAUCAGACAGACUAAGAUGCAGGGGCUGGCCCCAUGCUGA